UACGUAGGGUGCAAGCGUUAAUCGGAAUUACUGGGCGUAAAGCGUGCGCAGGCGGCUUUGCAAGACAGAUGUGAAAUCCCCGGGCUCAACCUGGGAACUGCAUUUGUGACUGCAUGGCUAGAGUACGGUAGAGGGGAUGGAAUUCCGCGUGUAGCAGUGAAAUGCGGUAGAUAUGCGGAGGAACACCGAUGGCGAAGGCAAUCCCCUGGACCUGUACUGACGCUCAUGCACGAAAGCGUGGGGAGCAAACAGG
rnacentral:rRNA from 1 species